rnacentral:rRNA from 1 species
CACCCGAAGUCGGUGAGGUAACCUUUUUGGAGCCAGCCGCCUAAGGUGGGAUAGAUGAUUGGGGUGAAGUCGUAACAAGGUAGCCGUAUCGGAAGGUGCGGCUGGAUCACCUCCUUUCUAAGGAA